CGCGUAGGCGGUACGACAAGUCUGGAGUGAAAGCCCGGGGCUCAACCCCGGAAUGUCUUUGGAAACUGUCGAACUUGAGUGCGGAAGAGGCAUCUGGAAUUCCCAGUGUAGCGGUGAAAUGCGUAGAUAUUGGGAAGAACACCUGAGGCGAAGGCGGGAUGCUGGGCCGACACUGACGCUGAGGCGCGAAAGCCAGGGGAGCGAACG
rnacentral:rRNA from 1 species